rnacentral:rRNA from 1 species
AUGGAUGAAAUAAAAGGUAUCACUAAUGAUUUUUUCAAGAAUCUUUAUUCCUGUGAUUCUGUGGUUAAUCCGUCCCGUAUCAUUUCUCUUGUGAAACCAUUGGUGACUGAUCAAAUGAAUGAGGAUCUUUGUAAGCCUUUUUCUGAGCAAGAAAUCAGCGAUGCCCUAUUCCAAAUAGGGCCGUUAAAGGCCCCGGGGCCAGAUGGAUUUUCUGCCAGGUUUUUUCAAAGAAAUUGGGGGCUGCUUAAGGAGGAUAUUGUUCGUGCCAUCCAGCAAUUUUUUAUUUCUGGAACUAUGCCUGAAGGGAUAAAUGAUACAACUAUUGUUCUUAUUCCUAAGGUGAAGAAUCCUCAGUCCAUAAAAGACUUCCGUCCAAUCAGUCUUUGUAACGUGAUUUAUAAGAUUAUCUCUAAGUGCCUGGUCAACAGACUAAGACCUCUGCUAGAUGGUAUGAUUUCUCCUACCCAAAGUGCAUUCAUCCCUGGAAGAUCAAUAUCUGAUAAUGCACUUAUCGCGUUUGAAUGUACAUGCUCAAUAUGUGGUAUUGAUGAUGAGUGUAUUUUCCAUGCUUUGGUGGUUUGUCCCAAGGCUCGUGCGUUCCGCAUGGCUCUGAAGGAAGUUUGGAAAUUACCAGCGGAGGAGACCUUCAAAUAUUCUGGACCGGAUUGGUUCCUUAUUCUAUUGGACCAGUUAACUACGCCUGUUCGUGAGCAAACUAUAUUCAUGUUUUGGAGAGCUUGGCACUUGAGGAAUGAUUUGAUCUUUGGUAAGGGAAUGGAAUCCAUCUCAGCCUCGGUGGAGAUAUGCAGUAAGGGGAAGCAAGUGGAGUUGGAUCUUCAGCCAACCAAUGACAUUGAGAGGCAGGCCAUUGAAGCUGCGAGCGUGGGGGUGGUUGUUAGAAAUCACCGUGGACAAGUGAUCCUAUCCUCUUGGGAUUAUAUUGGUACUUGCUACAGCGUUGAGGAAGCGGAACUUAGAGCGUCCUUGUCCCGCCUAUAUAUUGGUAUGACUCUAGACAUGCCCGUCAUUUUGGAAACUGAUUGUUCGUUUGUAGCCUCCGUUUUUGGUAAAGAAUAUGUGGACAGAUCAUCCCUUGUUGAUCUAAAGAAGGAAGCUGUAGAUGUCUCAAAGUUGUUGGUGAAUUUACAGAUUUCUAAGAUCAACAGGAAGGCUAAUAUGGUGGCUCAUGAGAUUGCAAAGUUUAGUUUUGAUAAUAGUUCUGAUGAUAUUAUGUUUUAUUCUGUUCCGCCCUGCGUGGCAAAGUUUGUAACGAAUGAUUUUGUUGAUUUCAUCUACGGAGGCAAGCCAUCGUCGCUGGCGAGCAUCAUCAAGGUCACUAGAGGGUUGUGCUUUUUGGAUCUGCCUAACAACGCGGUGCUCGGGAGGAGAAGUUCUGUGGUGCCAUGGUGGGGGCGAGGAAUUGCAACAAUGCGUGGCGGUGGGAGGAGUGGCCAGCGGUGGCGGCCCCACGUCUACGCAAGAAGGAGCAGGGGCGCAGCAAACUCCGGACCCCAACUCGGGAAAACGCGGGUUUCCACCUCGCGGCUGCGGUGCCCUGCAUAUAAGCGGAAGCGGUUGGUGCGGAGACAUUUCAUCCCGCGAUUUCUCCUCACCAACCACCUCUCCUCUCUCCCCUCAUGCCGCCGCCGCCCGCCGACCAAGAUCCCGGCGAAAGCAGCCGGCAGGAGCAAGCCGGAAGUCCGCCACACGCACGAGGCCUCCCCUCCCUUUCCCCAGCGUCGGCUGGCCACCGGAUUUGCAGAUCUACGACACUUCAUUGCGGGCCGCCGGAUUUGGCUUUUUCCGGCCGCCGCUUGCUGCCCCAAGCGAUGUAGUGGUCGGGGAGCCUCUCCCGCAGCCCAGGCAAGGACGCAUCGCCGCAUGCAGGUACGGGUUCAUCCGCCUGCCGCCGCCGAAGAGUGCGACGACUGCACGCGGAAAGUGCUGCGGCUCACUUCGGGCACGCCGAAGCACCUCGGAUGGGUGUUCUUCAAAUGCGAAAACAACGGGGAUUCUAGGCUAGCUGUUGUCGUGCAGAACCUCCCGCUGGAGUGGACAACUAGAGAGACUGUAUUGAUUGCUCGUUCGAUACUCCCGAGGGGACACAUAGGCUCUAGGGACAUUCCUGAGGGCACAUAUGCUCCCUAUGAGUACAUGAACAUGAUGAUGCAACAACGAAGCGGAGAGGAGGAGGGAUGUGGCAAUGCUCAUCUUUUCGGUGGCGAGAUUCUUGAAUUUGUGCCGUGCCGGUUUUUUGGUGGUUUGGAACGUGUGAUCAGUGGGGCGCUCGCACGAAUGUUUGGCUUGGGUUGUGCUGACGUGUGCGGGCUCGUGAUACUCUUGAGCAUCCCAGACCGGGAAAAUUGCUUCUGUUGUUGCAGCUCCGAGCCAGUCUACCCAAACCGGAAAACUUCCCCACGGCCAAAAAGCCGAAGAGCAUCCGAUUCCGGGCACGCACGGAAAACUUUGGAUUCGCUGUGA